GAUGAACGCUGGCGGCGUGCCUAAUACAUGAAAGUCGAGCGAAGCGGGGACGGGUGAGUAACACGUGGAUAACCUCCUAUAAGACUGGGAUAACUUCGGGAAACGGGAGCUAAACCGGAUAAUUAUAGAUGGAUCCGGGCUGCAUUAGCUCGUUGGUAAGGUAAGGGCUUACCAAGGCAACGAUGCAUAGCCGACCUGGGAGGGUGUUGGGCCCCACGGGAACUGGUACACGGUCCAGACUCCUACGGGAGGCAGCGGUAGGGAAUCUUCCGCAAUGGGCGAAGUCUUGACGGAGCAACGCCGCGUGAGUGAUGAAGGUCUUCGGAUCGUAAAACUCUUUUAUUAGGGAAGCGGUACCUAAUCAGAAAGCCACGGCUAACUACGUGCCAGCAGCCGCGGUAAUAC
rnacentral:rRNA from 1 species